AUUGAACGCUGGCGGCAUGCCUUACACAUGCAAGUCGAACGGUAACGGGCCUUCGGGUGCCGACGAGUGGCGAACGGGUGAGUAAUGCAUCGGAACGUACCUUUCAGUGGGGGAUAACGUAGCGAAAGUUACGCUAAUACCGCAUAUUCUGUGAGCAGGAAAGCAGGGGAUCGCAAGACCUUGCGCUGAUUGAGCGGCCGAUAUCAGAUUAGCUAGUUGGUGAGGUAAAGGCUCACCAAGGCGACGAUCUGUAGCGGGUCUGAGAGGAUGAUCCGCCACACUGGAACUGAGACACGGUCCAGACUCCUACGGGAGGCAGCAGUGGGGAAUUUUGGACAAUGGGCGCAAGCCUGAUCCAGCCAUGCCGCGUGAGUGAAGAAGGCCUUCGGGUUGUAAAGCUCUUUUGUCCGGUAAAGAAAGCAUUCGGUUAAUAACCGGAUGUCAUGACGGUACCGGAAGAAUAAGCACCGGCUAACUUCGUGCCAGCAGCCG
rnacentral:rRNA from 1 species